rnacentral:rRNA from 1 species
CAAUAGCGUAUAUUAAAGUUGUUGCAGUUAAAAAGCUCGUAGUUGGAUUUCUGGUGGGAGCGAUCGGUCUGGCGCUUAGCGCGAGUACUUGCAUCGUCUCCGGCCAUCCUUGGGGAGAGUCUGUCUGGCAUUAAGUUGUCGGGCAGAGGAUCCUCAUCGUUUACUGUGAAAAAAUUAGAGUGUUCAAAGCAGGCUUAUGCCGUUGAAUAUAUUAGCAUGGAAUAAUAAGAUAGGACUUUGGUACUAUUUUGUUGGUUUGCGCACCAAAGUAAUGAUUAAUAGGGACAGUUGGGGGUAUUCGUAUUCCGUUGUCAGAGGUGAAAUUCCUGGAUUUACGGAAGACGAACUACUGCGAAAGCAUUUACCAAGGAUGUUUUCAUUAA